rnacentral:rRNA from 1 species
AGCGAACGCUGGCGGCAGGCCUAACACAUGCAAGUCGAACGAACCCUUCGGGGUUAGUGGCGGACGGGUGAGUAACACGUGGGAACGUGCCUUUAGGUUCGGAAUAACUCAGGGAAACUUGUGCUAAUACCGAAUGUGCCCUUCGGGGGCAAGAUUUAUCGCCUUUAGAGCGGCCCGCGUCUGAUUAGCUAGUUGGUGAGGUAAUGGCUCACCAAGGCUACGAUCAGUAGCUGGUCUGAGAGGAUGGCCAGCCACAUUGGGACUGAGACACGGCCCAAACUCCUACGGGAGGCAGCAGUGGGGAAUCUUGCGCAAUGGGCGAAAGCCUGACGCAGCCAUGCCGCGUGGAUGAUGAAGGUCUUAGGAUUGUAAAAUCCUUUCACCGGUGAAGAUAAUGACUGUAGCCGGAGAAGAAGCCCCGGCUGACUUCGUGCCAGCCGCCGCCGUAAGAC